GACAGAGGGUGCAAACGUUGUUCGGAAUUACUGGGCGUAAAGCGCGUGUAGGCGGCUAUGCAAGUCGGGUGUGAAAGCCCUCAGCUCAACUGAGGAAGUGCGCCCGAAACUGCAGAGCUUGAGUACCGGAGAGGAUGGCGGAAUUCCCCGAAGUAGAGGUGAAAAUUCGUAGAUAUCGGGAGGAACACCGGUGGCGAAGGCGGCCAUCUGGACGGAUACUGACGCUGAGACGCGAAAAGCGUGGGGGAGCAAACAGG
rnacentral:rRNA from 1 species